rnacentral:rRNA from 1 species
CACGUAGGAGGCGAGCGUUGUCCGGAAUCAUUGGGCGUAAAGAGCGCGCAGGCGGCUUGGCAAGUCGGGUGUGAAAUCCCGGGGCUCAACCCCGUGACUGCAUCCGAUACUGUCAGGCUAGAGGUAGGUAGGGGGAGAUCGGAAUUCCUGGUGUAGCGGUGAAAUGCGCAGAUAUCAGGAGGAACACCGGUGGCGAAGGCGGAUCUCUGGGCCUUACCUGACGCUCAGGCGCGAAAGCUAGGGGGAGCGAACAGG